GUCCGUGUGGUGUAAUGGACAACAUGUCUGUUUUCCAAACAGAGGAUCCGGGUUCGAUCCCCGGUACGGGCU
rnacentral:tRNA from 1 species